rnacentral:rRNA from 1 species
GGGUUCGAUUCUAGCUCAGGACGAACGCUGGCGGCGUGCCUAACACAUGCAAGUCGAGCGAGGAGAUCCUUCGGGAUGAUCCUAGCGGCGGACGGGUGAGUAACACGUGGGCAACCUGCCUCAUAGAGAGGAAUAGCCUUCCGAAAGGGAGAUUAAUACCUCAUAACAUUGCAGUUUCGCAUGAAACAGCAAUUAAAGGAGCAAUCCGCUAUGAGAUGGGCCCGCGGCGCAUUAGCUAGUUGGUGAGGUAACGGCUCACCAAGGCGACGAUGCGUAGCCGACCUGAGAGGGUGAUCGGCCACAUUGGGACUGAGACACGGCCCAGACUCCUACGGGAGGCAGCAGUGGGGAAUAUUGCACAAUGGGGGAAACCCUGAUGCAAGCAACGCCGCGUGAGUGAUGACGGCCUUCGGGUUGUAAAGCUCUGUCUUCAGGGACGAUAAUGACGGUACCUGAGGAGGAAGCCACGGCUAACUACGUGCCAGCAGCCGC